rnacentral:SRP_RNA from 1 species
GCUGGGCAUGGUGGCGCAUGCCUGUAGUCCCAGCUACUCAGGAGGCUGAGGUGGGAGGAUAGCUUGAGCCCAGGAGUUCUGGGCUGUAGUAUGCUAUGCUGAUUGGGUGUCUGCACUAAGUUUGACAUCAAUAUGGUGACCUCCUGGGAGCGGAGGACCACCAGGUUGCCUAAGGAGGAGUGAACCAGCCCAGGUCAGAAACGGAGCAGGUCAAAACUCCUGUGCUGAUUGGUUGUGGGAUCGCGUCUGUGAAUAGCCACUGCACUCCAGCCUGGGCUGCAGCAUAGUGAGACCCCAUCUCU